AUGGCCGCGCAGGAGGGCGCCGCGGGGACGGCGAACCAGGUGGCGAGGGUGCGGUACGGCGACGUCGACGACAGCAACUUCAUGCUGCGCGGCCGCGCCGUGCCGCUGCUGGCCGGCCUGCUCGCGCUCCUCGUCGCCUUCGUCGCCGUCUGCCUCUACCUGCGCUGGGCGUGCGGCCGCCGCCGCGCCCGCCGCGACGCCGACCGCGAGGCCUCGUCCUCGUCCGCCGCGGCGUCGCCCGUGCCCGGCCUCGACGCCGACGCCAUCAAUGGGCUGCCCGUCACGCUCUACAGCCCGCCCGCCUCCUCGCCGGUGCGCUCCCCUUCUCGGCAGAAGGGCGACGGCGGAGACGAGGAGCAGGCGGCGGAGUGCUCGAUCUGCAUCAGCGCGCUGGUGGCCGGGGACAAAGUGAAGGCGCUCCCUCCCUGCGGCCACUGCUUCCACCCGGAGUGCGUCGACGCCUGGCUCCGCUCCCAGCCCAGCUGCCCGCUCUGCCGCACCCUCCUCCUCCCCGCCGCCGCCGUCGCCAAGCCGGUCGACGUUGUCAACGGAGGCGACCCGCCGCCGGUGUGA
rnacentral:rRNA from 1 species